rnacentral:misc_RNA from 1 species
UCGAGCGUGUCAGGUUUAAAGUGAUGGCAGAGAAGUGAAAUUUUGCUGGCAAGCGGAAAUCUUGCACACGCUGUGGGAAACACAACGAAGGCGGAUACUCGAGUACACGAGACAAAACCGAAACGUACACACACAUACAUAUACGUCACUCAACAAAUAUUUAUAUUCUUCCACUGUGACGUAAUGGUUCUUUUUACUUUUAGUUAAUGAAAUAUAAAAAAUUCUUUAACGUUUUUAAAGUCGGUUUUCGUGGUGAAGUUUUCCAGUAUUCAUUUGCCAGCCGAAGCGAAUAGUUCGUUUUCACACAUAAUAUUUACCAUACUCGUAUUUGUGCACGACAUCCGACGCAGACAAAUCAUUUCCUAGUGCGCGUAAUUAAUAUAACAAAAAAAAAAAAAAUCGCGAAGUGUGCCUUAUAACCAACGUCAUUAAUUGUCAAUCUGAUUAAGCAUAGCAACACUACAGACCACAACAAACUAAAAAACAGUAAAUUUAUAUUGAAUACGCUUUAUUUACAAAAGUACUAAAGUGCUGAGUAAAACGUAAUAAUUUUAGAAUUUAAACAAAAUCUAAUNAUAGUGAUUGGUUGGUAUUUAAGAAAGCUAAAUAAACCAAAAUCGAUAUGUCUUCGACGAAGUUCAUUGCCAUUCUGCCUCAACCUACACAGCCAGGCGAUAAAAUUCAAAUCAAUGGCAGAAUAAGCGAACAUGCAGAAGAAUUUUCCAUAAACUUCGCGAAUGAGGUCAACGAGAAUCCACAAUCGAUCACCUAUCACUUCAAUUGGGAUCUGGCGCAUAAAAUGCUUAUUGAGGACUAUAAAGAGGACGACGAAUGGAUGAAUAGAAAAGAAACUGAAUUUGAUACAUUUGAUGGUCGGUUCAAAAAUAAAGCUAUUAACGAUAGUAUAAGCAACCGCUUUAUUGACAAUAACACAAUUGCAGACACUACUGACACAUAUCCACAUUCAUAUUCUCUUUUAGGGCCGGAAUUCGCCCUAGAAUUCGCAUUCCAAGAUGACGGCAUCUAUGUGUACUUGGUAUCCGAAGAUGGCCGAAAUCUUGUCACACAUUAUCAACCCGAGAUCGAUUUUCAAUUCAUCGAAUCGGUACAAGUGUGGGGCGAUGUGGAAAAAGUCACACAAUUAACAUUCUCUUACAAUUAGGCGCCAAUUACAAAAUUUUCGCAAUUGCAAAUCUGCCAAAAAGUAAUAANUUUGUUCUUGCUGUUGUAGUUGUUGCACGAACAAUGGCAACUGCAAGAGAACAUCGCGCUGAACCGCUCGUGGUUGGAAGAAAUGCUAGCGCAGCAUACCGUUUUAUGGCACGAAUCCCUGGCAUUACAAGAUCUCACGUGGCAAGUCACUUACACCGCCUCCUCGCGCANCCAUGCCUUGCAUUAAGCAAGUUGUUUGAGUUUUUAAGCAACCAAAAAAUGCACCAAAAACCUUGNUUAUGUACACAUACUUACNUAUAUUUACAUAUGUGUAGGUGUAUCCAUGCACCGCGCCAUUUGAUUAGCACUGCUCAUACCCGUUUCCGUACAAGUGGGAUUGAUAUAACUUUUGCAUGAACGCAUUAAGCGCCGCUGCCAUCUAAGUUCUUAAGUAUUGAUUAAGCUAGCGCUAAGCAUGAGCCGCAAGUAUUCUAUUUAAAUAACUGUACUAACAAUUUUGCAAUUGAGUGUUGUCUNAAUACCAAAGAUCAAGUGUAAGCAAAAAAACGCAAAAUAUUACAACUGCUUACAUUUAUAAAAAAAAAGUAUAUAUAUACAAA